rnacentral:lncRNA from 1 species
AUGCUUUUUACCUUAAAACUGCACGGGCCCCGCCCCCGCUGUCCUUCCGCAGACCCCGCCUCUCCCCGGGCUCCGCCCCAGGCUACCUGGGCUCUGCGCGCACGCGCAGUUUCCUGGAGUCCCGGAAGCGGCUGGUGGUGUGUGAAGGUGACGCCGCCGAGCAAGAGUGUGCCUGAGUGUAGGUUGAGCCUUCGAUUCGCCGUCCCCCUUUUCCACACCCGCUCUGCUGACCUUAAAAUCCCUGCAUCGCGCCCUCCACCCCAGGAAGAUGCCUAGAAGAGGAAGAAGAGAAAGAAGAAACAGGGAUGGCUCUUACUCAG